UACAGAGGUCUCAAGCGUUGUUCGGAUUCAUUGGGCGUAAAGGGUGCGUAGGCGGCGAUGUAAGUCUGGUGUGAAAUCUCAGGGCUCAACCUUGAAAUGGCAUUGGAUACUGCGUCGCUUGAGGAUUGUAGAGGAGAGUGGAAUUCACGGUGUAGCAGUGAAAUGCGUAGAUAUCGUGAGGAAGACCAGUUGCGAAGGCGACUCUCUGGGCAAUUCCUGACACUGAGGCACGAAGGCCAGGGGAGCAAACGGG
rnacentral:rRNA from 1 species